CGUUUCGUGAUGGGCUUUCUCCGUCUGAUGCAUGUUGGGCUCUGAGUAAUGAUAGAGAACUGUGUAUCGUCUCUCCUUUCUUCCGGCGGCGACGCCUGAGUUUCUUUCACUGGUUGAAACGGACGGAGCUAUUACUUCGUCUUUAUUGCAAUUGAAUCCAUCGCCCACUAUGAGUCUUCAAAGCGCCGUUCGUAUCUCCUGUGGAUCUGUAUAAAUAUAGUUUUUCUCUCCGACUUGAAGACCGGCAAGUGCUCUUCCAGUGAUGAGUCUGUUACUCUUAGUCUAUUCGACUGUCAAGCCGUUUCGUUCCACAAGAAGAUUGAAAGCAUGCGUGAUGAUCCAAAGGUGGUUGUUGACACGAACAUUAAUCCGAAGAUGAUUGGAGGUACUCUGUUGUUCUAUGUUUUAUGAUGUCAAGUGAUAUUGUGCAAGAUCACAUUCCUUUUU